CUGAAAUUGAGAAAAUUUGCUGGCAUGUCUAAUGACUUUCUUCAGUACCAGCAAGUCUGCUUACUUUAUUUGGUGGGCAGUGGUACAGCCGGGCCCCAGGCCCAGCAGAUGAUCUGGUCGGGGAUGGAAACUGGCGCCCUCCUCACCGCUUCUUGCCCACACCGGUGGAGCUGGGUGGGGCCCCACUCAGAGGCCGGGCCACGCUAACCAAUCAGUACUGACAGAGGGCAUGACUGUGGGGAAUUUAAACCAAGGAGCAGUGGAGAGACAGUCCUCUCAAAUCCUUCACUGCAUCGGGUCAGAUCUACCCACUCUUUGCAGAUCCACCACUCCAAAGAAAAGAACUCUCUUAUUGCUGAUCAUCUUUCAUGUUUCUAUAUAGGUUCUGCCUCCUUCUGUGUGCACUGACAGCUGCUAUCCUGGCUCCAGCAGGAAAAAGAAGGAAGGAGAGAAAUUUUGCUGCUAUGACUGUGCUCUGUGUCCAGAUGGGAUGAUCUCCGACAGGAAGGGUAUUGAGAGACCAAUUGAUAUUAAUAAGCUUAGAUAUUUAUUAUUGAUAUAUUCACAGUGAAAAUGAGAUUCUUCACUUGCUCCAGUGGGUGAGAGGGUAGUGCCCAAAGAGAGAGGCUAACAUCCUUGUAAAAAUACUUCUUUUAAAUAAACCAUCAGGAGACCAACGAAUGCAUUUCGGCUCAAAAAAUAUAUCAGCAUAAUAAUAAAAAAGAACAAUCAACACUAUAUUAAACAUGGAUUAAUAUAGUGGAAGGCAGAAAUAAUAAGCCACCUAGGCAAAGGGAAUCUCUCCCCAAAACAGACAUUCAGGCCUACUUCAAUCAUGAAAAAGAAUAUACUGAUCAAAGUUCUCUUCCAUUCUACACUGCCUGGUGUGAUUAACUUUUUCAUCCUUUAUCAUUCACCACUCAAGUUGACCUCAGUAAUACAGAGAACACAGAUUCAUUGAAUAUCUAUGAAGAUAGUUUGUAUUAAAAUUCUUAAAAAUAUUUUUUAAAAGAAAACACAGGCAUUUAGACAGAGAACGGGAAAGACUGAAUGAGAGAAAGAGAUGAUACUAUUUUGUUGUCAGGUAAAAAGUGCAAGAAGUUGAAAGGAUGAAUUGUUACUAACUUCUAUAGUUAAUUAGACAUCUGGAAAUAUAACUAUUGUUGCAUUUUUUGUGUUAAAUGCUUAAAAUAUUAAAACACCUCUUCCAUUUUUCAGAUAUGGAUGCCUGUGUCAAAUGUCCAGAAGACCAGUAUCCCAACAAGGACCAAACUAAAUGCAUUGCAAAAUUGGUAACAUACCUCUCUUAUAAAGAAGAUUUGGG